CUAGGAACAAGGAAAGGUGAGUCAGGUCAGGGUGGGGCAGGGAAAUGGGUCCUUUACUGUGUUCCGAGCUCUAUUCCACAAUAACCAAAGGUGGAAGACUGGCUGUGGCUUGGUGAGUCGUGUUUCCAGCCUCUGACUGCUCAGUGAGAUGAAGGCUCUGAGCAGGUUCAGAGCAACUUGCUUGAGGUCACCUUGGCUGGCAGAGGAAGGGCACCUGCCCUCCUGUGGAAAUACAGGAAAUGGCAUUCAUAUCACUCCUAGGGUGGCCCUCAGUGUGGCAGGCAGGUCUCUGAUUGGAUGAGUCCUGCACUGAGGCAGUUUGUGUGGAGAUGCUGAACCAGGCAGGUGGUUACUGUGGCACAAUAAUGAGAAGGUUGCUAGGGGAGGGCGAAGGAAACAGGAAACAAGGUGUUAUGUCCCCUAAAAAUGUCACCACCAUCACCACCUUCCUUCCAAGAAUAAAGAGAGUUUCAUUGCUAGCUGACAAUGAAACUACAUUUCGAGUGUAGUUUUUUUACCCUUGAUUGACGCUUUUCCUGGACUGUAACUUAAGUAAACGUCAGUCCCCUGACCUUCUAAUUGCUCAGUUCUUUUAAUUAAAAGAUGAUUCUAAGCAACAUCAAGUAGUGGUCUAUUUAUUAUUUAUCAAGCAUUUUCCUUCCAGCAGUUAGUGAAAGGUCAGUGGCUUCAAUGGAUGCUUUGUUUUUGGUGAGCAGUUUAGAUGAAAAAGAUAUACAAUCAAUCUCAGCUCCCUCCUGUUUGCUCACGGGCAGGACACUGUUUAAUAGUCAUUUGUGGCAUUUAGGAUCGCAGGCCUUGGAAACAUGCAGAAAAGUGCAUGUGCAUCCCUUGCUGCUGAACAUUUCUCCAAAAGUAAACAUCAGGUUGUGAUUAUGGUUAAUAAUGAGGUAUUGAUUGUCUGAGAAUGUCA
rnacentral:lncRNA from 1 species